AACAGAACAUCCUAGCAUCCGAGCAUCUGAGAAGCCAACACACUUGGACAAGAUGGACCCCAUCUUGGAAACUACCGAAAUUAUCCUGAAAGCAAUGCUCAUCAGAGGAGACUGUUAUACAAUGGAAGUUGACAAGAUCCUAGAUGUGGGAACAAUUGAGCAAAUCAAUGUUAAGGCCGAGAGAAUUGUUCAACUAACAGAACAUAUUGAGAUGAAACUAAAAUAUCUGUCAAAUGAGGUAAAGGAGUUGAGGGCAGAGAUGAAGCAGAUGAAGCCACAGAAGUAAAAAAAAAAGAAAAUGAUUGUAUAGUAAUAAAAAAAAUCUAUUAAAGACAUAACAUAACAUUGUAGGCAUAUAGUUGUAAAAAAAAAA